GGCCAAGUGUGGAAGCACCGCCUCUCGGUACAGAUGUGCACCCUUCUUCUUCUUGAUUGGAUUUCCAGAAGGGUCCUCUGACCGCAUGUAGUGUAUCACAUCAGAAAAUGUAAAGUCCUCUCGCUGACACAAAGCGAAAGGAACUCCUUGCCCACAUUCGAAGGAAGCGAGAGCAGAAGAGAUCUUCUUCACCCGCUUCAACUCAGCCUUGCUCAGGGCGCAAGGAACAUCCAGGUGUACGCGGCGAGCGUUGGCCCACCUCUCGCGGCUCCCGCGUACAAAUGUAGAUUCAACAAAAAAGAACUCACUCUUCCACUGGGGCCCAUAGUUAGUGGGGAGUUCUAUUAUCAGCUCUCGUCCGCUGAACCGCUUUGCUAGCCCCAAUCGACCAGAUUCGGAAGCGGGCGCCUUCACAAACUUGAAAAACCAAAAGAA
rnacentral:lncRNA from 1 species